UGGGGAAUAUUGCGCAAUGGGGGGAACCCUGACGCAGCCAUGCCGCGUGAAUGAAGAAGGCCUUCGGGUUGUAAAGUUCUUUCGGUAUUGAGGAAGGUUGAUGUGUUAAUAGCACAUCAAAUUGACGUUAAAUACAGAAGAAGCACCGGCUAACUCCGUGCCAGCAGCCGCGGUAAUACGGAGGGUGCGAGCGUUAAUCGGAAUAACUGGGCGUAAAGGGCACGCAGGCGGUUAUUUAAGUGAGGUGUGAAAGCCCCGGGCUUAACCUGGGAAUUGCAUUUCAGACUGGGUAACUAGAGUACUUUAGGGAGGGGUAGAAUUCCACGUGUAGCGGUGAAAUGCGUAGAGAUGUGGAGGAAUACCGAAGGCGAAGGCAGCCCCUUGGGAAUGUACUGACGCUCAUGUGCGAAAGCGUGGGGAGCAAACAGGAUUAGAUACCCUGGUAGUCCACGCUGUAAACGCUGUCGAUUUGGGGGUUGGGGUUUAACUCUGGCGCCCGUAGCCAACGUGAUAAAUCGACCGCCGGGGGAGUACGGCCGCAAGGUUA
rnacentral:rRNA from 1 species